UGGGGGAUAUUGCACAAUGGGCGAAAGCCUGAUGCAGCGACGCCGCGUGGGGGAUGAAGGCUUUCGGGUUGUAAACCUCUUUCGCUAUCGAACAAGGCCCGCUUAGGGUGGGUUGAGGGUAGGUGGAGAAGAAGCGCCGGCUAACUACGUGCCAGCAGCCGCGGUAAUACGUAGGGCGCGAGCGUUGUCCGGAAUUAUUGGGCGUAAAGGGCUUGUAGGCGGCUUGUUGCGCCGGCUGUGAAAACGCGGGGCUUAACUUCGCGCGUGCAGUGGGUACGGGCAGGCUUGAGUGUGGUAGGGGUGACUGGAAUUCCAGGUGUAGCGGUGGAAUGCGCAGAUAUCUGGAGGAACACCGAUGGCGAAGGCAGGUCACUGGGCCAUUACUGACGCUGAGGAGCGAAAGCAUGGGUAGCGAACAGG
rnacentral:rRNA from 2 species